UGUAGAGUAGCUCAAUGGUAGAGCACAACGCUGUUAACGUUGCCGCUGUGGGUUCGAGUCCCACUUCUACAGCCA
rnacentral:tRNA from 1 species